GCCCGCCUAGCUCAAUCGGAUAGAGCGUCAGACUCUUAUACAAGGGGGGGCCCCUGAAUAUUGCGAUCUGAAGGCUGCGAGUUCGACCCUCGCGGUGGGCU